CUCCCUCCUCCCUUGUCCCAAUAAUUCUUCUCUCUCCACCAUAACCACCUCCUCCCUCUUCCUCCUCCCUCUCCACCUCCUCCCUUCGGUCCCCUCUCUCUCCGAUCUCUCUUUACUCCGGUAAUCCACUCUGGCAGCCCACUCUCCUCCCUUUUCUAUCUCUUCUCACUCGGAUGCUCCACUUCUUUCUUAAAUCCGACGAACCAUAAUGGAAGCGAUCAUCUCUGAC
rnacentral:lncRNA from 1 species